GACCGCGUAGCUCAGUUGGCAGAGCAUUGGGCUGAUAUUCCAAAGGUUGUAGGUUCGAUUCCCACCGUGGUCA
rnacentral:tRNA from 1 species